GUCCCCUCCCCACUCCCCCACUCUCUCUCUUUCUUUCUCUCUCUAACUCUCUCUCUCUUCUCUUUCUUUCUUUCUCUCUCUUCAUCUCUUUCUCUCUAACUCUCUCUCCACCCACAGCUCUCCGCCGUCGUUGCUCCCCUCACCUCCUUGCGCCGUCGCGGCUGCUCCCACACCUCCUUGCGCCGCCGUCACCGUCGCUCCCCUCACCUCCUUGCGCUGCCGCCGUCGCUGCUCCGCCGCCGCCUUGCGUCGCUGCUCCGCCACGGCCUUGUGCCGACCGUCGUUGCUCCUCCCACCGCCUUGAACUCGGUACUAAACCAUUCACUUCACUUUUUUAAGUUAUUUUUUUUUAAUUUAUGAAUGUCCAUCCAUU
rnacentral:lncRNA from 1 species